GUCUGGCACAGCAUCCAGACCCUGAAGGAGGAUUGCAACCGGCUGCAGCAGGGACAGCGAGCCGCCAUGUAGCGUGCCAGGCUUUUUUUUAAAACUUAAUUUAUUUAAAAUUGCUUGGUGGCUUUGGCCACAGGGAGGUGGUUGAGGCAGGGACCCAGAAGCAACCGUUAUGAGCAACAAAAAGGAGACACUGGUUUGGAUGGAUGGGAAGCGGUUGAGUGGGCUGGACUGACAGAGGCCCCUUUAGACCUGGCGAGGAUGAAUCUCCUCCGAAACAACAGCUGCCUCUCUAAGAUGAAGAAUUCCAUGGCUUCCAUGUCUCAGCAGCUCAAGGCCAAGUUGGAUUUCUUCAAAACCAGCAUCCAGAUUGACCUGGAGAAGUACAGCGAGCAAACCGAGUUUGGGAUCAGUGUUCAUCACCGUGCUUUGAGCUUAACUGGACCAGCUGGAAAGAGGCCAAGAGAGUAGCCAGUGAAGGGAGCCCCUCUGUGGCCAGAUGCAAGAGCUGCAUGAAUGGACAGAGAUGG
rnacentral:sRNA from 1 species